rnacentral:misc_RNA from 1 species
ACAUAUAAGUAGGUACGCGCAUAUCGUGAUUUACGGAACCGAUUUUUGUGCUAAAAUUUUGUGACUCAUUUUUUUCACUUCUUUUUAGGCAGCGUGGGGUAAACGUAGUUUUGUGAUGUUUCUUUUUAGAAACAUGUAUACACAUAGAUACUUUUUGGUAAGAAGAGAAGCUUAUCUUUACUUUUUUAAAACUUUUUUGUAUGGUUACUAGACUUUUUAACAGAUUGUUUUGCUCCUGAAUAUUUAGUUGAUGUUUUCACAUGAAUUUGUUGUCGAAGGCAUGUCGCGUCUGCUUUUUUUGUUAUUCAGGCAGUUUUUUACAUGCAAUUUCUAUUUAUGUGCCAAAUUUCAACGAAAAAUAAUUGGGAGCAGAUAUGUUACAAGUCCAAUAUGCACAGACUACAACUGUUCUUUCUACGUGUGCUACGCCUGGUUGGUGGGUUAAAUAUGAUCAUUUAAAUGAGAAAAUGUAUACUAGUGCAGUUUGUAAUCUGGGUGUUAUAACAUCACAACCACAUCUAUGACCAACUCUAAGGUCACGUUAUUUUGUUUGGCAGUGUUUUGGAAUCAAGUUAUGGCAAAAUUUUGUGUAUAAAAUAUAACAAUUACAUUUAAAAAGUGCUUAUUUCUGACAAAAA